rnacentral:rRNA from 1 species
UUGGAUCCUGGCUCCAGGACGAAAGCCGGGCGGCGUUGCCUAAUACAUUGCAAGUCGAGCGGAACAGGAAAAAGAGGCUGCUCCCUUUGACGGUAAGGGGCGGACGGGUGUAAUAAAACGGUGGCCAACCUACCCCCAAUAUUUUGGGAUUAAUUCGGGGGAAACCGGGCUAAAUCCGAAAAAACCUCUUUGGCUCAUAGGCAAGAAGGCUUGAAAGACGGGUUCUCGGCUGUCGCUAUAGGGAUGGGCCCGCGGGCGCAUUAGCUAGUUGGGUGAGGGUAACGGCUCACCAAGGCGACGAUGCGUAGCCGACCUGAGAGGGUGAUCGGCCACACUGGGACUGAGACACGGCCCAGACUCCCUACGGGAGGCAGCAGUAGGGAAUCUUCCACAAUGGGCGAAAGCCUGAUGGAGCAACGCCGCGUGAGUGAAGAAGGUUUUCGGAUCGUAAAACUCUGUUGUAAGGGAAGAACGAAGUGACAGUAGUAACUGGCUGUACCUUGACGG